rnacentral:rRNA from 1 species
CCUACGGGGGGCAGCAGUAGGGAAUAUUGCUCAAUGGGGGAAACCCUGAAGCAGCAACGCCGCGUGGAGGAUGAAGGUUUUCGGAUUGUAAACUCCUUUUGUUAGAGAAGAUACUGACGGUAUCUAACGAAUAAGCACCGGCUAACUCCGUGCCAGCAGCCGCGGGAAUACGGAGGGUGCAAGCGUUACUCGGAAUCACUGGGCGUAAAGAGCGCGUAGGCGGGAUAGCAAGUCAGAUGUGAAAUCCUAUGGCUUAACCAUAGAACUGCAUUUGAAACUGUUAUUCUAGAGUAUGGGAGAGGUAGGUGGAAUUCUUGGUGUAGGGGUAAAAUCCGUAGAGAUCAAGAGGAAUACUCAUUGCGAAGGCGACCUGCUAGAACAUAACUGACGCUGAUGCGCGAAAGCGUGGGGAGCAAACAGGAUUAGAUACCCCGGUAGUC